rnacentral:rRNA from 1 species
CUACGGGUCGCAGCAGUGAGGAAUAUUGCACAAUGGGGGGAACCCUGAUGCAGCAACGCCGCGUGGAGGAUGACGCAUUUCGGUGUGUAAACUCCUUUAUAUGUCAAGAAAAUGACGGUAGCAUAUGAAUAAGCACCGGCUAACUCCGUGCCAGCAGCCGCGGUAAUACGGAGGGUGCAAGCGUUACUCGGAAUCACUGGGCGUAAAGGACGCGUAGGCGGGUUGGAAAGUCAGGUGUGAAAUCCUACAGCUUAACUGUAGAACUGCACUUGAAACUUCUAAUCUAGAGUAUGGGAGGGGGAGAUGGAAUUAGUGGUGUAGGGGUAAAUCCGUAGAUAUCACUAGGAAUACCUAAAGCGAAGGCGAUCUCCUGGAACAUUACUGACGCUAAGGCGUGAAAGCGUGGGGAGCAAACAGGAUUAGAUACCCUUGUAGUC